rnacentral:misc_RNA from 1 species
UCUCCGUUGGUGAACCAGCGGAGGGAUCAUUACCGAGUUUUUCUUCUCUCAAACCCCUGUGACCUUAUACCUUUACUGUGGCUUCGGUGGGUUAACGCCUCGGAAGGCCCAAAAAGCCGCCGGAAUCAGUCGCCCCCCGAGGGACCCAAACUCUUGUAUUUCUUACUUUGUAUGUCCGAGUAGAAUCAUAAACAAAUGAAUCAAAACUUUCAACAACGGAUCUCUUGGUUCUG